rnacentral:rRNA from 1 species
AUUGAACGCUGGCGGCAGGCCUAACACAUGCAAGUCGAGCGGAUGAAGGGAGCUUGCUCCUGGAUUCAGCGGCGGACGGGUGAGUAAUGCCUAGGAAUCUGCCUGGUAGUGGGGGAUAACGUCCGGAAACGGGCGCUAAUACCGCAUACGUCCUGAGGGAGAAAGUGGGGGAUCUUCGGACCUCACGCUAUCAGAUGAGCCUAGGUCGGAUUAGCUAGUUGGUGGGGUAAAGGCCUACCAAGGCGACGAUCCGUAACUGGUCUGAGAGGAUGGUCAGUCACCCUGGAACUGAGACACGGUCCAGACUCCUACGGGAGGCAGCAGUGGGGAAUAUUGGACAAUGGGCGAAAGCCUGAUCCAGCCAUGCCGCGUGUGUGAAGAAGGUCUUCGGAUUGUAAAGCACUUUAAGUUGGGAGGAAGGGCAGUAAGUUAAUACCUUGCUGUUUUGACGUUACCAACAGAAUAAGCACCGGCUAACUUCGUG